AAAUCACUUACCGUGAAUUUUUAAAUGCGUGUAUUAAAUUUUAUGUGUAUGACUGUGUUACUGAAGGAAGCAGACCCAGGAGGAACUGUUGAAGAACCAGCCAGACAGCUCCCCCCCUCCCACCAAGCUGUCCACCGGGCCGAGCUGUACUUGGUGUUUGUCAACAUGCUGUAAUUUCCAGCCUGGUUGCUGUAGCCACAGAGGAAUUUUCAAGGACAAGAACCAGUGCUGGUAAAAUGUGGUCUCGUGUGGUUUUCCAUACCGGCUCUCGGCAAGGAUUUUCAAGAAAGGAAUACCAUCUCCAAUUAGAAGAAAUUCUAAGCAUGUCUGGUUUGAAUGCUUUCAAAAUGCAUCUGGGAACUCAAUAAGAUGAGAUUUACCUUUGAGUUGUUAAAAACCGAUUGCAAAAUGUCCAAAAGACUAUAUAUUUUAUUAAAUUUGUCCUGAAAAUCUUUGAAUUCAUGAACUUUUCUGCAUAUUUAUCACAUUUAUGACUAUA